GGAAGGUCCGGGCGUUAUCCGGAUUUAUUGGGUUUAAAGGGAGCGCAGGCGGACCUUUAAGUCAGCUGUGAAAUACGGCGGCUCAACCGUCGAACUGCAGUUGAUACUGGAGGUCUUGAGUGCACACAGGGAUGCUGGAAUUCAUGGUGUAGCGGUGAAAUGCUCANAUAUCAUGAANAACUCCGAUCGCGAAGGCAGGCAUCCGGGGUGCAACUGACGCUGAGGCUCGAAAGUGCGGGUAUCAAACAGGAUUANAUACCCUGGUAGUCCGCACAGUAAACGAUGAAUACUCGCGGUUUGCGAUACAAUGUAAGCCGCCNAGCGAAAGCAUNAANCUNCCACNUGGGGAGUCCNCNGCCACGGUNAACUCAAGNAUUGACNAACCCANUNCCNCCAUGGCGCC
rnacentral:rRNA from 1 species